UACGUAGGGUGCAAGCGUUGCCCGGAUUUAUUGGGCGUAAAGGGCGCGUAGGCGGCUCGGCACGUCCGUUGUGAAAUCGCCCGGCUCAACUGGGCGGGGUCAGCGGAUACGGCCGAGCUUGAGCAAGCUAGGGGGCAAUGGAAUUCCCGGUGUAGUGGUGGAAUGCGUAGAUAUCGGGAGGAACACCAGUGGCGAAGGCGGCUCACUGGCCCGGUACUGACGCUGAGGUGCGAAAGCGUGGGGAGCAAACAGG
rnacentral:rRNA from 1 species